GUUGCUCGAUGUCUGUGACACCAGCCAGAAAUCCAAACAGACAGAGACGAUCAAGUGCUCCCUUCAGACUGGAACAGGUAACUUGUCCCUUCUGAAGUUGUAAAAAUGCUGAAUAGAUGUUUAAAAAAGAAAAUAUUUUUCUUAUUCUCCUCAACCACGACGGACACCUGCACAAAUCACUACCACUCGAACAUGGAUCAGAUACAUUGUUGUUUCUGUUGGCU
rnacentral:misc_RNA from 1 species